ACCUGGUUAGCUCAAUUGGUAGAGCGCUCCACUAGAAAUGAAGAGGUCCCUGGUUCAAUACCAGAACCAGGAG
rnacentral:tRNA from 1 species